CUCUUGCCUGUUGCCGUGUGAGGUGGGGUUUUGCUUCUCCUUUGCCUUUCGCCAUGAUUGUGAAGCCUCCCCAGCCACGUCGAACUGUGAGUCCAUUAAGCCUCUUUUUCUUUAUAAAUUACCCAGUCUCAGGUAUGCCUUUAUUAGCUGCAUGAGAACUAAUACAGCAGAUAUGUAGGGAAUUAGGCCUGAUUGGAGGUUGCACAGGAGGAGGAAAGUUAAAGGGUAGGUGAUGUCCCAAGCACCUGAACUUCCCCUGACUGUACUAAGUAGAACAUUGGAAAAUAGCAAACAGCAUCCAUUCAGGAAUGUAACGUAACAAGAAAUGAAUACAACCAAAAUCUUGCACCAUGUUACUCAAAGGGUGGUACCUGGACCAGCAGCAUUGGUAUCCCCUGUUAGAAAUGAAUGCAGACUCUUAGGCCUCAUGUAAGACCUACUGAAUCAGAAUCUGCAUUUUAACAAGAUCCAAUGAGACGUGCUGCUAUGGAGAAUCUCCUGGCGAGCUCAUGAAGAACACAGAAUCCCAGCCUUGUUGAAAUAGUACGCAGCCUAGGCCUGUGUAGUUUUACCAAGUCCCCCAGGUGACUCUGAUACCAGCCGAAAUUUGAGCACCACUACACUAAAGCUGUGCCAUUCAAAUACGGUAGCUGGUAGCCACGUGUGGCUAUUUAAAUUUGAUUUUAAAUUACUUAAAAAGUCAGCCACUAGCCACAUCUCAGUGCUCAAGAGCCACAUGUGGGUACUGCAUUGGACGGUAAAGGUCUAGAACAGUUCCAUCAAUGCAGAAAAUUCUGUCGGGCAGCACUGGUUUCAUUGGUUCUCAAUCUUGACUACACAUGCAAAUCACCAGCCCUAGCUUUUUUGUUUUAGGUUUUAAUACAGAACAUUACUUAUUUUAGGCCUCAUCAUACAGGCAUUUUACCUUCAUAGAAACUUGGCCCAAGGUUUUCUAGUACAAACACUGUUAGGAAAACCAAGAUCUUGAUCUCGAUAAAACCACACAUAUUUCACAUUUAGAUGAUCACGUGAGAUAUUGUCGCUUAACUUUGCUGAAAUCCAGGCUGUGGUGCCAGAUUCUAUGUGGGCAAUUUCGUGGAUGUGCUACUUCAUUUUCCCUUUCAAUAGUUGAAAAGAUUCCCUGGAAACACUGAACAUUUUUAAAAGAUUCCACACCGUCAUACUAUUUCCCUCACACAAUCAUUUUUGUUCAGGGAUCUAACCCUCUAAUCCUUGCAUAUCUGCAUGUAGAAACUGAUUAUUUAUUUAUUUAUUUUGAGACGGAGUCACUCUCGUCCUGGCUGGAGUGCAGUGGCGCGAUCUUGAAUCACUGCAAGCUCCGCCUCCCAGGUUCAAGUGAUCUUUCUGCCUCAGCCUCCCGAGUAGCUGGAAUUACAGGCACCCGCCACCACACCCGGCUAAUUUUUGUAUUUUUAGUAGAGACGGGGUUUCACCAUGUUGGCCAGGCUGGUCUGGAACUCCUGACCUCAAGAGAUCCACUCGCCUCGGCCUCCUAAAGUGCUGGGAUUACAGGCAUGAGCCACCGCGUCCGGCCAGAAACUGAUUUUUCACAAACCUCCUGGCCUGACUGCUCAAUAGAUUUAUAACAAUCACAGGACUGUAUUUCUCUAGAUCAGCUCCCAUCCCCAACCCGCAGAAUCCACAAACAUCUGUAAAUGCCUGCCUUCUAGCUCCUUAGGGACAGAGGCAGGGACUGGGAAGGGGGCAUCUGGUUUGCCCUACAAAUAUUUCUACACACACAUAAUGUGUCAUCUUCAGCCUUUGCUCCCACAACAACAAUGGUGCCCCGGGUACCCAGGUUGCUAUAAUGAUGUCCGUUGCUGCUUCUAACUCACAGACAUGUCUCCAUAUCACACUGAAUCUCCAAGAGUCACCUAACUAGGUCACUUUCACUCUGGAGAUUUGCUUGGUAGGGUAGGGCAUUAUUAUUUGCUCUAUCUUCUUGUCCCAGCCUAACCCCCUGCAACAUCUACUUAACACUGGACUACACCGAAACAUCUUCCCUCUGGAUCAACCAUUCCUUAACCAAGUGUAUGCAUUUGGAAUCCUUCUCCUCUUGGGGUUGGUAAGGAGUGGCCCUUAUUCCCAAUGGGGCUCAGUCCUAGAGCAAAGAGAGGGCCACUGGCCCUAGAGGGCUGGCUACUGUUAAAAGAAAAACUUCGGCUAAAUUAAAUUUAAAGGAGUUUAGGCUGGGCAUGGUGGCUUAAACGGCUGUAAUCCCAACAAUUUGGGAGUCGGAGGCCAGCGGAUCACGAGGUCAGGAGUUCGAGACCAGUGUGGCCAAAAUAGUGAAACCGUCUCUACUAAAAAUACAAAAAAAUUAGCCAGGCAUGGUGGCGGGUGCCUGUAGUCUCAGCUACUCGGGAGGCUGAGGCAGGAGAAUCUCUUGAACCCGGUGGGCAGAGGUUGCAGUGAGCUGAGAUCGCACCACUUGCACUCCAGCCUGGGCGACAGAGAGAGACUCCAUCUCAAAAUAAAAUAAAUUUAAAGGAGUUUAACUGAGUAAUGAACGAUUCGCGAAUCAGGCAGCUCCCAGAAUCACAGCAGAUUCAGAGAAACGCCAGCGCCGCCAUGUGGAAGAUUUAUAGACAAAAGGAAAUGACAGAAAUCCACAGUGAGGCACAGAAGCAGAUGAAUUGGUUACAGCUCGGCGUUUGCCUUAUUUGAGCAUGGUUCAAACAGUUGGCUACAUUUAAUCGGCCAAAAUUCAGUGACUGGCACAGGUGUGGGCCACGGUGGGUUUACACCUCCACUUGUUAUACUUCACCAUGUACAGAAAAACCCUGAGGCUGAAUUUAAAUACGUAAGGAGGCCGCUUUAGGCUAAACCUGAUUAACACUAGUCACUGUCCCUACCAGGGCUGGGACUAGGGUGAGGCAGGUGAGGCACUCUCAGGCUUCAAAUGCAGGUCGAACCUUUAAAAUUUUGAUGUUGUGUUCAUCAUGGUUUCUUGCCCUAAUUUUGAUUUUUUUUUUUUUUUUUUUACUAUUGCAUUACAAUAUUUUUAUCUUGAUUACUGAGGGAGUUUGUCUGGCACUCUGUUAAAUUUUGCAUAAGUGCCUCGUUCACUCUCACCCUAGUCCCAAACCCUGGUCUUGUCCAUCAGAUUCCUCUCUCCUUUAGCCCUGGUAGGCUGCCUCCUCAUGCCUUCAAGCUAUAUCUAUCAUAAAUCCCUCCUGAGGCUGGGCGAAGUGGCUCAUGCCUGUAAUCCCAGCACUUUUGGAGGUCAAGGCGGGCAGAUGGCUUGAGGCCAGGAGUUCGAGACCAGCGUGGCCAACAUGGGAAUACCCUGUCUCUCCUAAAAAUACAAAAAUUAGCCGAGUGUGAUGGUGCUUGCCUGUAGUCCCAGCUAUUCAGGAGGCUGAGACAGGAGAAUUGCUUGAACCCAGGAGGCAGAGGUUACAGUGAGCCGAGAUUGCGCUACUACACCACAGCCUGGGUGACAGAGUGAGACUCCAUCUCAAAAAAACAAAAAACCCUCCUGGGCACCCGGUGUAGGUCCUGAGCUGCACAUAGCAGCUACCUAGUUGUAAUCACACUGCUCACCAUUUUUUGUAUUAUCUUUUAUUUUCAUAAACAAUUAUUUCAUAAGCAAUACUUUUGGUUUCCAGGUUGCCUUAAUUGCCUUUUUUUUAAACAGCUGCAAGAUAGCCCACUUAGUUGAUGCACUAUUAUCGGAUAUUUAGGCUAGUUUCCAUUUCUAAUUGAUGAAUGAAGCUUUAGAUUUGUAAAGAUGCUGAGUGUGGGGGUAGAGUGAGGUUUGAGUGAGAUAAAUUGCUCUGCCUGAUAAUGUAGGAGGCUUUGUUGUUGUUUUGGGGUUUGGAGAUGGAAGAGUGGGCGUUGUUCGUUCUCUGACGGGCUACAAAGCAGAGAACAGGGUCCAACAACUUGUUGGGAAGCUGGAGCCUCAUUUGGAAGAAAUAGUAGAGGGACAUUUUUAAAAGAGAUGUGUGACACUGAAUUAUGUUGGAGAAAGAGGAGGAAAGAAAGACGAAAUGGGAAACAUUUGAAAAUAGUGACUUUUUUCCCCUUAGUAUCUCUUCUCUUCUUUUUAUUUUGAGAGAGUCUUGCUCUGUGGCCCAGGCUGGAGUGCAGGGGUGCGAUCUGAGCUCACUGCAACCUCUGCCUUCUGGGUUCGUGAUUCUCCUGUCUCCUGAGUAGCUGGGAUUAAGGCAUGCGCCACCACAUGCAGCUAAUUUUUGUAUUUUUAGUAGAGACAGGGGUUUUGCCAUGUUAGCCAGGCUGGUCUCAAACUCCUGGCCCCAUAUGAUUUGCCCGCCUCAGCCUCCCAAAGUGCUGGGAUUACAGGCAUGAGCCACCACCCCGGCUCCUCUUAGCAUCUCUUCUGAUGUGAAUCAGCUGGUAGCUGGCAGGGCUGAGGCGUGCCACAGGAAGACCACCAGGGACACAUCUCUAGUCCAAACCGAACUAGCUUCAUUUACUUGCUGCAGCCAGUAAGAUCUCGCUACAGGGGGACUGUGGGGGCAUUUUAGUAAGAAGAAUGGGGGUGGGGGUUGGUUAUUACAGGAUUUAGGCACGUGUGGAGGGAUUCUAAGAGUUUAGGGAUGCAGGAGCAUGUUCUGAACUCUGUUGUCAGGAAGCAGAGGCAAUACAAUCAUUGGGUAUCUUAAUUUGUAUUUGGGAGCUGAGAAGCUUGAGACAGGGCUGGAAUUGUCAUUGGUAAAGGAGAAGCAGUGGAUGGGGGAACUGUUAAUCAUUUUCCUGGCUGAGGAGUGGCCUUGUCUCUGUUGAGUUCCAAACAUGGUCACAGAGUGGCCUUCUCUGGACAUUAUUUAUAUCCCAUGUUGCUAUUUAUCUUCAGUUGGGAACAUCACGGCCUAGCUGCCAGCAGGGCUGUUCUUCACUUUCUCGGUCCUUCCUUUUGGCCAAGAGCAGACAAGCUGAGCCUGCAGGAUAUUAAUCUGUGGGAUCCAGGUCCACACAAGUGAGGGCAUUCUGCUCUUGAACAGCUGCAGUAGUCACCCAGGGAAUCAUCUGGGUGGUUCAGGGAUGGACGCGCCAGGAGAUCUGGGAGUUUACUCUGACAUGUUCGGGACAGGCUGUUUCUGCUUCGUGUCUGUCAGUGUCUUUUGAGAGCACCUGCAUUUCAGUUACGCCUUUUCCCUCAUCCAGUUUUUCUGAACAGAUGCAAAUGCUGGAACUUAGUUUCAGAUCCCUCCAAGCAGAACCGGAGGUGACAGCUUGCGUAUAGGUGGUUCACUGUGAGAAGUGAUCCAUUUUAGCAAGCAUGGCCCAACUGCACAGGGGCCCACCAGAAGGCUUGUAUGAGGUCCACCCAAAGCCCAGGGGAGGGGAUUGCUUAUCCACCAACUUAUCCCCCAUGGCCAAGACUCCCCCACUUCAUGUCAACCCCUCACCAUUCCAGGAGUGUGGAUUUGCAAAAAUGGUUGAGAGGCCCCUAUUAAGUGUCCCCUGCCUAGCAGAUGUUAAACAUUUCAUCAGUAUUUGAAGACUCAUGGAUAAAUGGAAAAAAAGUUAGGGCCUUUUGCUCCUGAGAAUCUUCAAUGACUUCUGUGACCACCACCCUGACAGGAUCAAGUCCCAAAGAAGCUGUCUCAUACUGAUACAGUGAAAACCCUUAGACUCAGCCUGAAUUUCAUGGCUUUACCUAGACAACUCCCUUCUCCUCUUAGACUUUCUUUGAGUAAUUAACUAGAGUGCUGCCUGCUUCUCCCAGGGCAUAGAACCCAAAGGUAUUUCUGUCCUUGUGGGUGAAGGCCCUUGGCAAGUGCAUCUCCUACAGACCAGACCUAUUGUCAGCCCAGUAAUGAGAAGGAGUAAAGAGAAAAGGAAGAAGGAAAUCCUGUCCCAUGCUACAGCAUGGAUGAACCUCAGAGAUACAAUGCUAAGCAAAAUAAAUCUGUCACAAAAGGACAAUUACUUUGAUUCCACUCAUAUGAACUGUCUAAAGUAGUCAAAAUUAUAGAAAUAGAAAGGAGAAAGGUGAUUAUUAAGGGCUGGGGGAUGGGGUGGAGGAAUCGGUAUAGAGUUUCCGUUUUGCAAGAUGGAAAAGUUCUGGAGAUUGGUUGCAAAAUAAUGUGAGUAUACUUAACACCACUGAACUAUACAUGUAAAAAUGGCUAAGAUGGUGCUAUGGUUUGAAUGUCCCCUCCAAAACUCAUGUUGAAAUUUAAUUGCCAUUGCCACUGUAUUAAGAGGUGGGAUGGUUAAGAGGUGAUUAGGCCAUGAGACAGCUCUAUCCAUAUAAAUGGAUUAAUGUCGUUAUCAUGGGAAUGGGUUUGUUAUCUUGGGAAUGGGUUGUUACAAAAGCCAGUUUGACCCCUCUCUUGUGUGCUCUCUUGCCCUUCUGCCACAAGGUGACACAGCAAGGAGGGCUUUUCCAGAUGCAGGCCCCUCAACUUUGUAUUUCCCAGCCUCCAGAGCUGUAGGAAAUCUGUUUUUUAUAAAUUACCCAGUGGGUGGUAUUCUUUUAUAACAAAAAAUGGACUAUUGGCCAGGCACAGUGGCUCAAUCAAGCCUGUAAUCCUAGCACUUUGGGAAGCCAAGGCGGGCGGAGCACCUGAGGUCAGGAGUUCGAGACCAGCCUGGCCAACAUGGCAAAACUCCAUCUCUACUAAAAAUACAAAAAUUAGCCAGGUGUGGUGGCAGACACCUGUAAUCCCUGCUACUCAAGAGGCUGGGGCAGGAGAAUUGCUUGAACCCGGGAGGCAGAGGUUGCAGUGAGCCAAGAUCACACCAUUGCACUCCAGCCUGGGCAACAAGAACAAAACUGUCUCAAAAAUAAAUAAAUAAAAAUGGACUAAGACAGAUGGUAGUUUUUGUUAUGUGUUUUUCACCAAAAUAGACUUUGAAAAGCAAAUCCAAAAAAGAAUGAGAAAGGGAAGAGAGACUAGCUUUAUCCUGCUGCUAUACCACUGAGUAGACCACAUAUCUUAGGGAGCUCUAAGUGGACAAUAUGCCUCUAUUUUUAGCAGUAUAACUCCAGCAAAACUCUGGAAAAGUAAAGCUGAAAGCUGAAACAUUCAGCAGGUUAAGAAAGACUGGCCAGAGCUGAAAAGGAGCCCAAAGUAUAAUCAUUGAAACUGGUAAUGUACAUAAAUAGCUGGACCAGUUUUUCUCUUGUUCAAAAAUCCCAUUCUAUUUGAAAGCAAUUUUCUUCCACUUCAAACUCUCUCAUUAUAUACCCUUUCAUUCAAAAUGUUAAUUCUCCCUCCUCUUGUAAUUUAACCAUCCGCUAAUCAUUUCUGGGAUGGAAACACAUAUUCCUAAGUGAAACUCUUUUGAAGAGCUGAAUUAAGCAGACAGUGGGUUUGUUUCUGUAAUUUCUUGUCUAAUGAUUAAUAGAAUUGCCAGUGAAGAACUUUCUCAAAGUCUUAAAAACUAUCCAUGACAAUGUUUUUGUGCAAACUAAACUUUUUUUUUUUGGCCAGAUGGAGAUUUAUAUCUCAGUAAUUAAGGUGAAAAAAAGACCCAAAUAAUACAAAUAUGUUGCCCACAAAUAAUAUUUGCAAAAAUGACUUAAUAGUCUAUUAAAAAUGCAGUCCAACUCUCUUUGCAAGCAAAAGAGAAGCUAUGGAGAUACGGGUGCUAGCCUUGGGUCUUCUGGUUACUUUCUAAAUGACCUUGGUGAUAUGGUUCUGUGUCGCCACCCAAAGCUCACCUUGAAUUGUAAUAAUCCCCACAUGUCGUGGGAGGGAUCCAGUGGGAGGUCAUUGAAUCUAUGCUGUUCUCGUGAUAGUGAAUAAGUCUCACGAGAUCUGAUGGUUUUAUAAAGGGGAGUUCCCCUGCACAUGUCCUCUAGCCUGCCACCAUGUAAGAUGUGCCUUUCUCCUCCUUCACCUUCAUUGUGAGGCCUCCCCAGCCAUGUGGAACUGUAAGUCCAUUAAACCUCUUUUUCUUUAUAAAUUACCCAGUCUUGGGUAUGUCUUUAUUAGCAGUGUGAGAAGGGACUAAUACACUUGGGAAGAAAGGAAGCAACCUUGGUUCAAAGUCUGUAUCUUCCAGCCAAUAUGAGUCCACUUGUAACACAAAUGAUAGAAAUCAGAUCAAGAAACAAAAAAUAAUAGCAAGGAAGUUUUAUUUGGUUUUUUAAAUAAUAAAGUCAAAUGUCCUUCGCAGCAACAUGUAUGGAGCUGGAGACCAUUACCUAAGUGAAAUAACACGGAAACAGAAAAUCAAAUACUGCAUGUUCUCACUUAUAAGUGGAAGCUAAACACUAGAUAUGCAUGGACAUAAAGAUAUAAAUAAUAGACACUGGGGACCCCAAAAGUGGGGAAAGUCAGGGAGGGGAAGGGUUGAAAAAUUACCUGUUGGGUACAAUAUUCACUAUUUGGGUGAUGGGUAUACUGGAAGCCCGAACUUCACCUUAUGCAAUAGAUUCAUAUAAGAAGCCUAUAUGUGUACCCCUUAAAUCUAAAAUUUUUAAAAAGAUUUAUUUGAAAAGGGAAUAUCAAUGCAAUGGGACAUUGAAGUCAAAUAUUUUUUCUGGCUGAUUUUCUCUGACAUCGCUGCUGUCUCUCCUUCCCUAUAGCUCAAGGGGCUAUCUAAUCAGACUAAUUUAUGGGCUCUUUAGCAAAAACAACCCUCUUAAAGAUGUCAGCAGAGAGCAAGACCAGCUAAGACUUUCCAGUGUUUGAAGUUGAUUGAUAAACCAGCAAUUGGCUCCAAAUUAUAUCUCAUUUAUAAAUUUAAAAUAGAAGUACAUGUGGUCAACUAUUCUCACUGAAUCCAAUGUCAUCCUUUUAUCACCCUUGAGAAGAAACUUGAAAGAUCUUUUAUCCUCCUGUCCUCACAAAAUAAAAACUUCCCAGCCUAUCAAAUACAUGGUGUGGUAAAUUACAUGGAAGGCCCAAUUCUCCAGCCCUCCUGGGAUCCACACCCUUUGCCAUGUAACUUUGUAACGCGCUGUUGCUGAGUGGCUCAACCAGCUGCAGGGCCGGCCACACAAUUUGUGGGGGCCAGUGCAAAAUGAAAAUGCAGACUCCUUGCUCAAAAAGCAGGAAAUGAGUGCCAUUACAACCACUAAAAUACAAAGCUUCUUUCUUUCCUCCACAGUCUUUCUCUACUCGUCACGGUGUUUUAAAUUUGCUAUUUCAUGUCAUUCUAAGUAAAGAAAAUUUUAAAUUAUUAGCAUGGGUUUUACAGUUCAUCUUUAUAUUUUGCAAGAAGUAACACCUGAGGCUGGGAAACCUGUGCAAAAAUAAAUAGGCUACUGUCUCCACUGGGCUAAGGAUUCCUAGAAUAUGGAGACCAUUUCUUUUUUUUUCUUUGAAUCUCCAGUGCUAGGCAUGGUGUCUGUUACAUAGUAGGCAAUAAGUAAUAUAUUUAAAGGUGAAAGGAGGGAAAGAAAUGAGUUUUAAAGUCAGUUAUGCCUGUGAGACGGUGAAGAAAUUGGCACAUUCAUACAUUGCUGGUGAGAAUGUAAAAGGGUACAGCUGCUAUGGAAACACUUUGGCAGGUCCUCAAAAAGUUAAACGUAGAGUUAACAUAUGACCCAGCAAUUCCACUCCUAGGUAUAUACCCAGGAGGAUUGAAAGCAUAUGUUGACACCAUACCUUAUACAUGAAUGUUCAUAGUAGCAUUAUUCAUAAUAGUCAAAAAGUUAGCUGGGCGUGGUAGAUCACACCUGUAAUCCCAGCUACUCGGGAGGCCGAGGCGGGCGGAUCACUUGAGGUCAGGAGUUGGAGACCAGCAUGGCCAACACAGGAAACCCUGUCUCUAGUAAAAAUACAAAAAAAAAAAAAAAAAAAAGCCAGGCAUGGUGGCGGGCACCUGUAAUUGCAGCUACUUGGGAGGCUGAGGGACAAGAAUCACUUGUACCCAGGAGGUGGAGGUUGCAGUGAGCCGAGAUCGCGCCACUGCACUCCAGCCUGGGCGACGGAGCGAGACUCCAUCUCAAAAAAAAAAAAAAAAAAAAAAAAAGCAAAAAGUGGAAACAACUCAAAUGUUCAUCAGCUGAUGAGUGAAUUUUUAAAAUGUCAUCUAUCCAUACAGUGGAAUAUUAUUUGCCAUGAAAAGGAACAAGGUACUGAUUCAUGCUGCAACAUGGAUGACCCUUGGAAACAUCCUAAGUGAAAGAUGCCAGACCCAAAAGACCCUAUAUCAUAUGAUUAUGUUUACAUGAAAUGUCCAGAAUAGGCAAAUCUAUACAGACAAAGUGGUUGCCGGGGUCCGGGAAAGGGGGAGUGACUGCUGAUGGGUAUGGAAUUUUCUUUUAGGGUCAUGAAAGUGUUCUGUAAAUAUGAUGGUUGCAGAACUUUGUGAAUAUACUGAAAACCACUGAAUUGAACACUUUAAAAGGGUGAAUUUUGUGAUGUGUGAAUUAUAUAUUGAUUUGAAAAAUCAUUUCUGCCUGACUCCGUUUUUUUAGUAGUGUGACCUUUGAAAAGUUAUAUGACCUCUCUGAACUUUAGUAUCCUGGACUGUGGAAGAAAUGGGGAGAAAUAAUACUUAAAACAUGUAGAAUUGUGAGGAUAAAGUGAGAUCUUAAAUGUAAAACAGUUUGCACCGUGCAGUCCUCCAGCCCUCUUCUGUUACCCUCUCCCCUCAAUAUCAGGGAGGGACUAUACGGGUUUCAAGGCAGUGACACAAUGUGGUCCCUCACUCACCCUCUACCCACGGGGAAGUUAUGGACCGAUCAAAGUUCUCUUCUUCCUCCUGCAAGUGGAUUCUCCCCUCCUCAGGGUGGUCAGAUGGAGCUGAAUGAACUUUCUUCUAGGGAGGAGCUCUCUGCCUUGGAGAGACCAGGUAGGGCCCAGGGAAAAGGAACUAUCAGGUUGGGGCAAAAGUAAGUAUGGUUUUUGACGUUACUUUAAUGGCAAAAAACGCAAUUACUUUUGCACGAACAUAAUAGACUGCUGUCUUCUUGAGCUUGGCUGGUGUCCAGGCCAUAUAAUGGAGAGGGACAGGAGUUCUUGGGAUUUCUGCUUGGUCCAACCCCCCUUUCCACCUUGGCAUGGAAUAAAGUGUAAAUAGUGUGCAUAAUAUCUCACUGGACCCAGACACUCAGCAGAAAUACAGUUCCAGGGGAGAGAGGGGGAACCCCAGUGUCUGGCAUAGCCAGGGCUAUCUAAAAGAGUCAGAUUUGCAGAGAGCAAGGAAGCAGAGAAUACAAUAGUGGCUGCCAGGGGCUGAGGAGUAGGGGAGAUGUAGUGUUGCUGUUCAAUGGGUCUAAAGUUUCAGAUUGCUUGAUGAAUACAUUCUAGAGACCUGCACAACAUUGUACCUACACUUAAUACGGUAUAGUGUGCUUAAAAAUCUAUUAACAGGGCUGGGUGCAGUGGCUCAUGCCUGUAAUCCUAACACUUUGGGAGGCCGAGGUGGGCAGAUCACUUGAGGUCAGGAGUUUGAGACCAGCCUGGCCAACAUGGUGAAACCCCAUCUCUAGUAAAAAUACAAAAAUUAGCUGGGCAUGGUGGUGGACGUCUGUAAUCCCAGCUACCUGGGAUGCUGAGGCAGGAGAAUCGCUUGAACCCAGGAGGUGGAGGUUGCAGCGAGCCCAGAUUGCACCACUGCACUCUAGCCUGGGUGACAGAGGGAGACUCCAUUUCAGGGUGACAGGGUCAAUCUCAUUUUAAGAGGUUACUACAAGACAAAAGGGACACAAGAAAACUUUGGGAGGUGUUGGAUAUGUCUGUUGAUACCAUCAAGAUGAUGGCAUCAUGGGGUAUUUGCGUAGGCUCAAACACUUCAGAUUGUAUGUAUUAAAUAUGUACAGUUCUGUGUGUAUCCAUUAUACCUCAGUAAAGCUGUUAAAUUAUUUAGCGGCCAGGCGCAAUGACUCACACCUGUAAUCCCAGCACUUUGGGAGACUGAGGCAGGAGGAUGGCAUGAGCCCAGGAGUUCGAGACCAGCCUGGGCAAUAUGGUGAAACCCCAUUUCUACAAAACAUAAAAUUAGCUGGGCAUGGUGGUGAGUACCUGCAGUUCCAGCUACUCAGGAGGCUGAGGUGGGAAGAUCAGCUGAGCCUGGGAAGUCAAGGCUACAGUGAGCCAUGAUCGUGCCAUUGUGCUACAGCCUGGGCGACAGAGUGAAACCCUGUCUCAAAAACAAAUUUAGUGAGGAUGGGUGAUAUUGUUGAGGAGUGUUUUCACAUUUGCACCAGAGGGUGCUAUCUGCUUCCUUGAUAGCCACACCGAUGUUCUAUGUGAUGAGAUAAGUGGAGUUAACUAGAACCAUGUGACCAAUUUAUUACACCACCAUCUCUGAAUGUCAAAAUCAUAUGUUUUCCCUCAGAUUCAGCCCAAAUGUUGCCACCACCAUAAAACCUCUCUGAACCGCCGCCUCUCCUGCACUCUCACCAACUUUAAGUCAGCUCUUCUCCAUCCAAACUGUCAAAGCAUCUUAUACUUUUGUUGUGGCAUUUACCCCUUUCUGCCUGGUACCUAGCUACUGCAGUACAAGUUGCUGUAUUGGUUUCCUAAGUGCUGCCGUAACAAAUAACCACAAACUGAGUGGCUUAAAACAACAAAUUCUGCCGGGUGUGGUGGUUCAUGCCUGUAAUCCCAGCACUUUGGGAGGCCAAGGCAGACAGAUCACCUGAGGUCAGGAGUUCGAGACCAGCCUGGCCAACAUGGUGAAACCCCGUCUCUACUAAAAAUACAAAAAUUAGCCAGUCAUGGUGGCGGGCACCUGUAAUCCCAGCUACUCGGAGGCUGAGGCAUGAGAAUCGCUUGAGCCUGGGAGGCAGAAGUUGCAGUGAGCCAAGAUCACGCCACUGCACUCCAGCCUGGGCGACAGAGCAAGACUCUGUCUCCCCACCACCACCACCCCCCCCAAAACACACACAAAAAAACACACUGGAAAUUUAUUCUCUCACAGUCUGGAGCCCAGAAAUCCAAAGUCAAGGUGUCAGCAGAGCUGGUUCCCUCUGAAGGCCUCAGUGGGAAAAAUUAGAGAUUCCUGUGCUCCGAGGAAACCUGAUCAUUAUUCCAAGUAUUGCUCAAAAAAUUUAGUGCACAGAACGCAAUGAAAAACCACUGCAUGGCUUCACAGCCACAUAGCUUAAAGGAAAAACCCUCGAUUUUCCUUGGCUUGUAGCGGCAUGAGUCGCUCUGCCUCCAUCUUCCCUUGGCCAUCUUUUUCUCUGUGUCUUCCUUUUCUGUCUCUUAAAAGGACACUGUCAUCAGAUUUAUAACCCACCCUAAAUCCAGAAUGUUCUUAUCCUGAGAUCCUUAAUUAUGUCUGCAAAGGCCAUAUUUUCAAAUAAGGCCACAUUCAUAGGUACCAGAGUUAGGACCUGGACAUAUCUUUUUGGGUGAGCACAAUUCAACAGCACUACAUGUGUCAUUAGACUAAGCUCCUUGAGAUGAGGAUCUAGGUCUUGUCCAUCUUUGUCGACAAGUGCCUUAAACAUAGAAAGUGUUCCGUAUGCUUGCUGAGUUCAUGGGUGGAUGGAUUGAGGUGGUUGGCCAGAUAAUGAAUAUUGUCUAACCUCUUCCACUCCUAAUGCAGUCAGAAUUGGGAAGCAUGCAUUAGAGAUUCCUGUGCCCCAUGGAAACUUGAUCAUGAUUCCAGGUAUGACUCAAAAAAUACAGUGUACAGAACUCAAUGAAAAACCACAGCGUGGCUUCACAGCCAUGUAGCUUAAAUGAAAAACUGGAUUUAGGGUGGACUAUAAAUCCAAUGACUGUGUCCGUAUAAGAAACUUCUCUCAAAUCCUUGCAAAUAUAUCCCAGAUGAAGCUGCUCUGGCCUUCAGAGGUUAAGGUAAACUUGGCUGAAACCCCAGGUGUCACAGACAAUGAGAAUCCACAGCCCUUCCUACAAUUUCUGCAAAUCCUGGCCCUAAUUCAUGGCCCUAAUUUGUUGUCUCUGCAUGUGUUCUUGAUUCCUUCCCUUGCCAAAGGUCAGACCCUUUCCCGGUUGUUGCACAAGAUCCCUGACUACCCCCACCCCCACUGUCCCCAUGAGCAUUUUGUGACUUUAGAACUUCACUGAAGAUUUGGGGGUUACAGAGUAUACCCCAUAUUCCUCAGCCCAUUUUCUUACUCCAUUUUCUCAUUUUACUUUUCUCUCUUCUCUCUCUCUGGUUCAAAACACAAAUUUCUUUCCUUGUUUCAUGCCAAGCAGUUCUGUUCAUACUUAGGCCCCUUGCCAUCUCAGCUUCUACUCUAAACAGGCUUUUUUUUUUUAAUGUAAGGCAGGAAGGCAAGAGAGAAAGGAGGGAGGGAGACCUAGAGGGAAGAAGGGAAAGGAGGAGAGAGAAUUGAAACCUUCUAAGAAUUUUCAUACCAGCUAUCAAAAUAAUAUUUUCCUUCUCUCUAUUUUAUAAAUAUUAAUAGGUUAAAGUUUGAAGUUCUUUGAGUAGGGAGAGAAAUUUCAACAGCCUUUGGUCCACUUGCUGUAGACACCCCUCAAAUCCUUGGCGUCCUUAGCAGAGUGAAGCAAUCCUCUUCUCAAGUUAACAUUUAAUUAUAAUUGCAACCAUCAUGACGAUUAAACCUCCCUUUUUGUCAUUGUCUUUUCUUGGUAUCAUUCCUUUGGCUCCAUUCACAUGAUAUAGACUGUGUAUGAAUCACAGAGUCUGUGCUUUUUAACUGUGGCAAAACCAUAGGCAGCUUUUUGUUUAUUCCCAGAAUCAGUUCCAAAACAGCUGUUAAAUGUUCGUCCUUGGUUCUGGCAUCUUAUUUCAGGGAAUUGUAACAGCAGCAUCUUCUGCUUUUAAUUCUCUCGAAGAAUGAAAAAAAAAAAAAAAAAACUCCCCAAGUUUGUGUGCCCUGUGUAGGUGCUAGUUAAUGUCUUAUUUCCUCUCAUUUCCUUAAUCAGGAAAUUUCAUAGUUCAGCAGCGGCAGGGUUCCCAUUAAUGUGGUUCUGACCAAGCUGUGUGAAACAGUCGACCGUGAAAACAGCUGGCUUUGCAAGCCACUGAGUGUUCUGAGCUGAGACAGACCAGGAGCUGCCAUUCGACACCAGUAAGAAAAGCAAGGACAUUUUUCACAGUGGCGGUUCCAUCUCUGGUAGAAUCGAUCUGCUGAAAAGUAAUACAUUAGGUCGUCCACCGAGUAGUUUGGACAUGAAUUGGCUGGUGAGUUCUGUUUUAAGGAGAUUUCCUUGUGAAAAACUGCCAUUGAAUGAUGGACACAUUUAAUACAUUGUGGUAUGAAAAAGCGCUCAAAAUCAAGACAAAUUGUUUUUUCUUGGUUCAAGGUAUUGCUUCAUUUAAAAUUAUUACUGGAAGAGCAACAGCUUACCAAAAUGGCCAUUUUCAAAUGACAUGAGCUAUGUAUAAAUUGCUCUUUACCAAUGGUUUUCACACACCAUAGUUAUACGUCGGAAUAAUCUGAGGAGAGCUUUGGAAGAAAAACACUGGUAACUGAACCCUACUCCCAAAGAUUUCAAUUCACUGGCUGGGGGUAAAUUCUGGGCAGUGGUGUUUUAUAAAUGCCCUCAAGAGAUUACUGCCGGGCACGGUGGCUCACACCUGUAAUGCCAGCACUUUGGGAGGCCAAGGUGGGUGGAUCAUCUGAGGUCAGGAGUUCAAGAUCAGCCUGGCCAACAUAGUGAAAACCCAUCUCUAAUAAAAAUAUAAAAAUUAGCUGGAUAUGGUGGCACAUGCCUGUAGACCCAGCUGCUUGGGAGGCUGAGCCAGGAGAGUCGCUUGAACCCAGGAAGUGGAGGUUGCAGUGAGCUGAGAUCAUACCACUGCUCUCCAGCUUGGGUGACAGAGUGAGACUCUAAAGAGAUUCUAAUGUACAGCCAGGAUUAGAGCCACUGCUUUAUGAAAAUCACAACCACAGACAACUUUUGAGACCAAUAUGUUGUGUAUGGGGUAUGUACAUUGCAGUUAAGUCAAUUAAUUUUCUAAUUUCCUGCCUUUUAAGUAGAAUUUGUUCUCCUUUGAUCAGAGAUGAUGAACCCAUGGCAAAUCUUUGGCAAGCCUCAAACUCACUUUUUCAUACCCAGCCUCCCUUCCGCCUCCCUCUCUGCCCAGGGAGACGCAUAUGUAAUUUUCAGCCCAUACUAUCUUGUAGAGACCAAACAUUCCCAGCCCAGUUCAGACUGCCCCCGAUGGACUGGCUUCUCUAAUACAUAUAUCAUUCCCUGUUUGAGUAAAUUAGGCUUCUCUCUUUCUCUCCUCAACCUACAGCAGCGGGGAAUCACCAAAAUGGGGGCCUACAAAGAAACUCCCAAUAUCCCAAUUGACCAUACUGGUCUUUGUCCAGUAUUCUCCAUUUCAGGAGAUGGUCCCCAAAUCUACCCUCUUGUUAAGCCAGUCACUUGGAUUCCUCUUUGAUUCUUUCCUUUCCCUCAUCCCUCCCAUCUGAUUCCCUUCCUCCGCAGUCAAUAAGUUCUGUCUCUCUCUCUCUGAAGCAUAACUAACAUUCACCCGCUUCUCACCACCCCCACGGCCACCUGCCUGAUCCAAGCUAUUAACGCCUUCCACCUUGGUACUGCAGUUGUCUGCCGAAUGUAUCAGCCUCUCUCUCUCUCUCCUGCUCUUGCCCCAUUCCACACCCAGCAGCCAAUCUUUCUAUAUGGUGGUUCAUAGACCACUUUGCUGCUGGAAACCUUACAAUAGCUGCUUAUUUAUGAGAUGGAGUCUCACUCUGUUGCCCAGUCUGGAGUGCAGUGGCGCAAUCUCAGCUCGCUGCAACCUCUGCCUCCCAGGUUCAAGCCAUUCUCCUGGCUCAGCUGCCUGAGCCGCUUGGACUACAGGCACACACCACCACAACCGGCUAAUUUUUGUGUUUUUGUGUUUUGUUUUGUUUUUUUAUUUUUUAUUUAUUUAUUUUUUUUUUUUUUGAGACACAGUCUCACUCUGUUGCCCAGGCUAGAAUGCAGUGGCAUGAUCUCGGCUCGCUGCAACCUCUGCCUCCUGGGUUCAAGCAAUUCUCUGCCUCAGCCUCCCGAGUAGCUGCGAUUACAGGCACCCGCCACCAUGCCCAGCUAAUUUUUAUAUUUUUAGUAGAGAUGGGGUUUCACCAACUUGGCCAGGCUGGUCUUGAACCCCUGACCUCGUGAUCUACCUGCCUCAGCCUCCCAAAGUGCUGGGAUUACAGGCGUGAGCUACCGUGCCUGGUCAUCAGCUUUUACUUAACAAUUCUACUAGGUCCAUUAGCUAUUGUUGACACUAGGUCCAUUAGCUAUUGUUGACACAUUUAUCACUCGAGCUAUUCUUGUAAUGUGUGUCAGUUAGGGCCCUGGUUACAAAUACAGAAACCAACUUAAGCGAACUUAACCAAAGCAAGAAUUCAUUAUAAGACUACUGACCUGCCUUAUGGAACUUACACAGUGGAGACCUAGAAAGGAAUUAAAAUCAAACUCAUUAUUGGGAAGCUGGGGAAUUCUCAUAUUUCCUCUCUCUCUCUUUCUUUCUCUUUAUCCUGCUUUUCUCUGCACAACUAAUUCUUCUCUCUGCAUUUCAGCUUUCAGCACACCUGCCACUAUUUCUGAGUUUUUACAUCUCUGCUGUCCUAAAACCCAGAUGGACCUUGAAUGUCACAGAAUUAAACUUUCAAAUUUCCUGGAAAAAAGAUUUUAGUUGCCCUUGGGUUAGAUGCUGAACCCAGGCAAUUUUCUGUAGCCAGUGAGGUGUGGGAAUCAGCGUACAAACACCCUCCAAGGGGUAUCACUUUAAAAACUGGGGGCAGGGGUGAGAGAGUUUGGAGAGAUAAUUCCUGGUGACAGGGGUAAUCACUGGCUUUUUGGCUAGAUAGAUACCCCAAAAUAUACCCACUAGAGGAGUCAAGUUGUUUACUGGGGCAUGUUCAUCCUCACACCCUCCUGGGUGUCUUUUUUUGGGGGACAGAUUCUCUGUCACCCAAGCUGGAGUGCAGUGGCGUGAUCUCGGUUCACUGCAACCUCUGCUUCCCAGGUUCAAGCAAGUUUCCUCCCUCAGCCUCCCGAGUAGGUGGGAUUACAGGCAGGCACCACCAAGCCCAGCUAAUUUUUGUAUUUUUAGUAGAGAUGGGGUUUCACCAUGUUGGCCAGGCUGGUCUCGAUCUCCUAACCUCAAGUGACCUGUCCACGGCAGCCUCCCAAAGUGCUGGGAUUCCAGGCAUGAGCCAUCAUGCUUAGCCUCUUCCUGGGUGUCUUUACUGUUUGUCCCCUAUAGUCAGUUUACAUCCAGGGAAUUCCAGGCUUAUGAGCUGGUUAUUUAAUUCCUGGAGGACAGCAGAUGUAGAACUGGCACCCUAUGAGAGAAAAGAAGCAAAGAUGAUAAGUAUUUUUAUGCCACUGAAAGAAGAGAAUUAAAUCAAGGAAAGACAUAGUAUAUUUUAAAGCAUGAAAGUGUGAUACAUUAUUUCUAAGAGAAGAAUUGGAUUAAGAAAAGAAUAGGGCACAGAAGCUCACACCUGUAAUCCCAGCACUUUGGGAAGCAGGGGGCAGGUAGAUCACUUGAGCCCAGGAGUUCAAAACCAGCCUGGUCAACAUAGGGAGACCCCGUGUCUACCAAAAAAAAUUUGUUUAAUUAGCUGGGUGUGGUGACAUGCGCCUAUAGUCCCAGCUACUCAGGAGGCUGCAGUGGAAGGAUCAGUUGAGCCUGGGAGGUUGAGACUGCAGCGAGCCAUGAUCGUACCACUGCGUUCCAGCCUGGGCAACAAAUGGAGACCCUGUUUCAAGAAAAGAAAGAAAAGAAUAUAUAAUAAGUAUGAAAGUUUGGAUUCUUUUAAAUUGUUGCCUUUUAGUCCUUUUGCAAAUCAAAUGACUCCGCCACCAAGAGAUUCUUUAGUAAUGUGAUCAAUCUUACUUCAUUGCUAAUAUGGCAAGUUCAAAUGGUGAUCUAUUUCUGCUUUAAGAUUGCAGAUUGUUUCUCCGUCCUUAUGCUCAGCUGUAUGAAGCAUUAUCUUCCAACAUCGCUGCUUGAAGCUAUGAAAAUAUACCCAUAAAUAUACUUGAAUUAAAAAAUAAGUGGUUGAAUUUGGGUUUCUGAUUUCAAGAUCUUAUGUAAUGAUGCCAUGCAAGAUAGAACAAUAGGCAGUUUUAGGAAAAAAAAUAGAAAAAAUCAAUAUGGUACAUUGGUUAAUAUUUGCAGCCUAAUGGUUAGAGCCCUGUGAUAUGGUUUGGCUGUGUCCCUACCCAAAUCUCACCUUGAAUUGUAGCGCCCCAUGUAUUACGGGAGGGACUCGGUGAGAGGUAAUUGAAUCAUGGGGGUGGGAUUUUCCCAUGCUGUUCUCAUGAUAGUGAAUAAGUCUCACAAGAUCUGAUGGUUUUAUAAAGGGCAGUUCCCCUGCACACUCUCUCAACUGCUGCCAUGUAAGAGGUGCCUUUGCUCCUCUUUCACCUUCCACCAUGAUUGUGAGGCCUCCUCAGCUGUGUGGAACUGUGAGUCCAUUAAACCUCUUUUUCUUUAUAAAUUACCCAGUCUUGGGUAUGUCUUUAUUAGUAGCAUGAGAACAAAUAUACCCUUGUUUCUGUCUCUUACUUAGCUAUGUGAUCUUCAACAAAAUUUUUAAUUUCUUAGAAAUUAAAUUUAGGAAAUUAAAUUUAGAAAUUAACAUUCCUAGUUAAAUUAGGAAUGUGAAUAGUGCUUGCCUGUGAGGAGUCGGGUGAACAAUGGAGUCUAUCUGUUAGGAAUUGUGUUUGAUUGUGAGCAACAGAAUCUCUGACUAAAUAGUGGCUUCCUCAGAUCAGGAGAUGAUUUUUUCUGACAAGCCCAGAGGUAGGUGGUCACUGGCCUUGGUGAAGGGGCUCAAAGAUUUCAGAGCUGAGGUCUUUGCGGUUCCAUGACCUUUCUCUCAUGAUCCCAACAUAGCUGCUGCAGCCUUAGCCAUCAUGUCUGUAUUUCUGGCAGGGAAAAGGAAGGAGGGGUGAUGACUGAAUCAAGAAAGCAAAAGCUUUCCCAGAUGUUUAAGGCAGGGUAGGCUAAGUGCCGUAACAAACAAGCCCUACUCAUCAGUGAAUUAACACAAUAGAAGUUUAUUUCUCACUCUUGCCAAGGCCAAUUGAUAGCAGGGAGCGGGAGUUAUGGGGAGAGGAUGGGAUGCAGCUCUUCUCAGUGCGGUCCUGCAGGGACCAAUUUAGAUGUGGCUUCCAGGGUCAUAAUAGGCAUGAAUGUGCCGCCAGCAGAUGCGGGGAGAGAGGGAGCAUGGGGAAUUGUGUAGGAAGGUUUAUGGAUCAAGUCUAGAAUCAAGGUAUAUUUUUGCCCACAUUUUAUUGGCCAGACUUCAGUCACAUGGGUCCACAUAGAUUCAAAGGGAGCCAGAAAAUAUAGCCCCCGAAUGGGCAAUUCUUCCCAGCAACAUCUCUAUGCCAUGGAAAGGGAACGUGAGUCUUUGGGGGGUACUGCUAACUAUCUCUGCCACAUUGGAAAUUCACUGCAACUUCCACAGAAAUUAUAUUGCCUAAAACUAUGACGCUUGAUCAGCCCUGGUUGCAAUAAACGCUGGGAAAUGUAAUUUUCAGCUGCUAUCAUCGAAACCUUGGGUAGCUUGGGUUUCUCUUAGGAAGAAGAGGAAGAUAUGUAGGCAACUAGCAGUGUUUGCCACGUGUGAAAAAGGUAUUUAGCACAGUGCCCAGCACUUAGUAAAUACUCAAUAAAUGCUAGCUAUUGUCAUUGCUAUGAUAUCUUUCUCAGGGAAAGAUAUACUCUCUUACCCAUUUGUCUCUCCCGCUGUAAGUUACCUUCUUGGCAUUCUGGUUGAGCACUAAACCUAGAAUCAGAAGACCUGGAUUUAAAUCCUGACUUGGCCCUUUAAUAUCUUAUCUGGGCCUUAGCCUUUUUUUUUUUUUUUUAAAGUACAGACAGGAUUUCACCAUGGUGGCCAGGCUGAUCUCAAACUCCUGACCUCAAGUGAUCCGCCCACCUCAGCCUCCCAAAGUGCUGAGAUGACAGGCAUGAGCCACGGUGCCCAGCCAAGGCCUUAGUUUUUUUAAUUGAGAAACUGGAGAGAAUUAAACCUGCCUCACAAGGUUGUUGUGUGAAUUAACUGAGACAAUGUGCUUGACUGAGCCAAAAGCAUUAUUUCACAUAUAAUGCAGACAUAAUAUUAAAACUGAGUCUCUAGUGGAAGCAACCCAAAUGCCCAUUGUAUGAGUUUCCUAGGGCUAUGUAUUAAUCCAUUCAUGAGAAUGAAUUAAUUGCUAUAAAGAACUACCUGAGACUGGUUCAGUUAUAAAGAAAAGAGGCUUAAUGGACUCACAAUUCUGCAAGCUGUACAGGAAACAUGGCUGGGGAGGCCUCAGGAAACUUUCUAUCAUGGAGGAAGGCAAAGGGGAAGCAGGCUUGUUUUACGUGGCCGGGGGAGGAGGAAGAGAGAGCAGGGGGAGGUGCUACACACUUUUAAACAGCCAGAUUUCAUAAGAACUCACUACCACGAGAACAGCAAGGAAGAAAUCUGUCGCCAUGAUCCAAUCACCUCCCUCCAGGCCCCUCUCCCAAUACUGGGGAUUACAAUUCAACAUGAGAUUUGGGCAGGGAUAUAAAUCCAAACCGUAUCAGGCUGCCAUAACAAAAUUCCACAAACUGGGUGGCUUAACACACACACAUUUAUCCUCUCACAGUUAUGAAGGUUUGAAGUCCAAAAUCAAAGGCUGGCAUGGCUAUGCUACUUCUGAAGGCCCUAGGGGAGAACCUUCCCUGCCUCUUUCAAUUUCUGGUGGUGACUGGCAAGCCUUGGACUUCCGUGGCCUGCAACCGCAUAACUCCGGCCUCUGCCUCUGUCGUCACGUGGCAUUUUCCCUGCAUGUUUCUGUCCCUCUUCUCUUAUGAGGAUACUACAGUCAUAUUGGGUUAAGAGCCCACCCUGCUCCAAUAUGACCUCAUCUUAUCUCAUUACAUCUGCAACAACCCUAUUUCCAAAUAAGGUCACAUUCUGAGGUACUGGGGGUUAGGACUUCAACAUACCUUUCUUUUGGAAGCCGGCACAAUUCAAUCCAUAACAUUCAUCAAACGAUGAUCGAAAAAAUAAAACGUGGGAUAGCCACAUAAUGGAAUAUUAUUUGCCCAUUAAAAAGGAAUGAAGUGCUACAACAUAGAUGAACCUUGAAAACAUUAUGCUAAGUGAAAGAAACCAGACACAAAAGGACACAUAUGAUUCCAUAUUAAGUGUCCAGAAUAGACAAAUCUUUUUUAUUUAUUUAUUUGAGACAGAGUCUUGCUCUGUUACCCAGGCUAGAGUACAGUGACGCAUUCUUGGCUCACUGCAACCUCCACCUGCCAGGUUCAAGCAAUUCUCCUGCCUCAGCUUCCCAAGUAGCUGGGACUACAGGCAUGCACCACCAUGCUUGGCUAACUUUUGUAUUUUUUAGUAGAAACAAGUUUUCUCCAUGUUGGCCAGGCUGGUCUCAAACUCCUGACCUCAGGUGAUCGACCCACCUCGACCUUCCAAAGUGCUGGGAUUACAGGCGUGAGUCACCACGCCUGGCCCAGAAUGGGCAAAUCUAGAGAGACAGAACGUCGCACGUUAGUGGUUGCCAGGGGCUGGGGGAGGUGAGACUGGGGAGUGACUGCCAAAAGGUACCGGUUUCUUUUAAUAGAGGACAAAAGUAUUCUAAAAUUGACUGUGGUGGUGGUUGUACAAGUCUGAAUAUACUAAAAAUUAUUGAAUUUUACAU
rnacentral:lncRNA from 1 species